rnacentral:rRNA from 1 species
GUGGGGAAUAUUGCACAAUGGGCGCAAGCCUGAUGCAGCCAUGCCGCGUGUGUGAAGAAGGCCUUCGGGUUGUAAAGCACUUUCAGCGGGGAGGAAGGCGUUAAGGUUAAUAACCUUGGCGAUUGACGUUACCCGCAGAAGAAGCACCGGCUAACUCCGUGCCAGCAGCCGCGGUAAUACGGAGGGUGCAAGCGUUAAUCGGAAUUACUGGGCGUAAAGCGCACGCAGGCGGUCUGUCAAGUCGGAUGUGAAAUCCCCGGGCUCAACCUGGGAACUGCAUUCGAAACUGGGAGGCUAGAGUCUUGUAGAGGGGGGUAGAAUUCCAGGUGUAGCGGUGAAAUGCGUAGAGAUCUGGAGGAAUACCGGUGGCGAAGGCGGCCCCCUGGACAAAGACUGACGCUCAGGUGCGAAAGCGUGGGGAGCAAACAGGAUUAGAUACCCGGGUAGUCC